GCACGGGUAGGGAAGCGGUCAAACCCGCAGGACUCAAGAUCCUGUCGCUUAGUGCGUUCGGCGGUUCGAACCCGCCCCCGUGCA
rnacentral:tRNA from 1 species